CAACAAAUAAGGGAGAGGACAUCCAUAAGGAAGGCCACGUGGUGGGAGGCACUUACCUUUUGUGGUCUGCUGAGAAGAAGAGAGAGAAUGCCAACAAGAUAACCAAGCAACUGCUUCUGUAUGGUCCACAUAAAUUACCCCAUACGAUGAUUUCCAGGCUUUACUUGGAAUUAAAGAAUUCACCUCUCAAGCUUUCAAACUGCAGUAACUCUACUGGGCUCUAAUUCGACAAUUGUUCCUGAAGAUGACGAGGACUCUGAGGCGAGGUGAAGCAAAGUCUCCAGGAAACCGGCCUGUAAAGAUCCUGCAGUUGUGUCACCACUAAACAGGUUCUCAUACGAAGACGACUUAACAACUUGUCUGAUUCUGACCACUUGCAUGCCAUCUGGAACUACUUCAGACCCUCAUUAUAGAAGAAGGAUGAAAAAUCGCUGCUAUGAGACUUUUUCGUGGUGUUCUCUGUGCAACUAUUAAAUACAGAGAUUAUAAACUCAGAGGUCUCUUCUUCUUGCAGCCACCCCACCAGGCUGGGUUUAUUUCCCCAGAAAUAGACGUGUAAUUAAUCCAAGGAGAUGAGUAGGUUAGGGUUCCCACAUCACAUCUCUGUGAACUCCUAAAAGAAAAUUUAGGAUAAUGUUCUGGUCAAAUAUUGGAAGGAGUUGUGUGGAGAGAUGAGUGAUGAGUGAGAAGAAAACCUUGGUGUGUUGUGAGGUGUAGAGUUGUUGACAGAGAGGUUGUGAGGAGAGACAUAUGGGCCAGGGAAAUCUCAUAUACCUCCAGUUUUUUCCCAGACAGCCUUGCCCUUAGUUCUUGACAGGAAGCAUUCUGAUUGGUUAUAAAGCCCUUGAGGCAUGUGCAGGACCAGCAUAAAUGCUGCAUUAAUAGAGUUAAAGAACAGCUUGAGGAAUUGCGAAUUCUAACUGCGCUCUACCAUUUGGUACAUUUAUUAUGAAGGGCUUUUUUUUUAAAUUCUGGAUCUGAUAUGACAUGUAAUUUGGCUCUCACCUGUCAUUUUUUUUCUACAACAGAGGGAUGUCAUACAUGAAAAUGUCAUUUGGUUUGUUUUUAGCCAUGAAAAAUAAAAAAAUAAGAAAAGUUAGAACUGAUGACAGAGUUUUCAUCAGAACAUAUAUCAUGUCCACUCUGUUGUUUGCACUAGUCAAUAAGAGUCAUUUGGUGAGGCUAAUAAAAAUGAGAAGAGAUGACCCAAGGGACUUUCAUAUUAAUGCAUCCGUUUGAGAUUUGACCAUGAGAGAAAAUUUACCACUAAGCAUGGAUUUUUAGACCAUUUUAGACUUCGCACAAGCACCUUGUUCAACAUCUUGAUCUACAGUUAACUUAUAUAAAUGGAAAAUAUAAUUUUUAAAUGUUGUAGGUUUGCAACAAAAAACGUUCCAGAUGUUUUGCAUCUUAGAAAGAAUAGUUUUCUUUUUCACAAAGUGGCUACUCUCAUGUGUACGCUUAUAGUUAAUUGCAUAACAAAAUAACUGAUUUCAGAGUUUAAAAAAAUCACCUUUGUCUCAAAUUAUCCAGAUUGGCAGUGUGCCAACCUGAAUUAACCAAAGUGUUGCCAAUCUUCCUCCUGCCUCUUUGGUUCAUUUUCUGCUGGGUAGACACAGCAAAAGGGCUCUCCCAUCUGCAAUACAAAAAUCAGUUAAAGUUCAAUAUUAUUUUAUGCUAAUCUCAGAGGGCACCUAAAAAAUCUGGCCAGCAUUACUGCAACAUUUUAAUUACUGGUGCUUACUACAAUUUGCAGUAAUUAUAGUUCAUUUAGUGAGCUGGUUCUUAAUUGCAGACACUGCUGAAGUAACAAUUGAAUAAAAAAUAAAAAGUACAAUUUCCACAUUUUUUUUCAUCUGAUAGAAGUGAUAUUGGCUUGGAAAGAAAUUGGAGGAGCUACCAUAUCCUGGACCACUUUCAAAGCUGUUGACCACUUGCAAAGCUUCCAGCCAAGAGUCGGGCUUUGAGAUUAAGCUACGCUGUGGUACAAGUCUUUUGUUUGUGAAAUAUUUCAUUUUAAAAUCUCCUCACACAUUCAUUGUAGCUCACAAGUUGCCGAUAGCUUGAUGAAAUAUUGAGAUUCUGUGGCCUAAACCAUUUUAAAACAUUUAGUCAAGGAAUGAAACUGUGCAUGAGGCAAAAUCAACCUUCCUAAAUGCUUUGUCACAGUGGUGCUUUCAAAUUGGUGGAUUAUUGAGGGGAGCUUUCUAUAAUGUAGAUUACUAAAUGGAUUAUUGGACAUAAGAUCCUCAUAUGUGCUCCUUUCUCACCUUGUACUUUCCAGUUCUUCUGCCCCAUAUACCUCUACCCCUACAUCUGAUUAAACGCAGCUGUGUUUAGGGGAGAAGGGAUAUACAUAGAAUACUGUUACCGGUCCCCACUGCCUCCCACUUUUUGAAUACUCUUUUCCACCCUUUACUUCCAGAAUCAUCCCCUCCAUUACAGGAUUCCUCUGUUAGAUACUUUAAAUCUGAGGGGCUUCCUAAAUCAGAGAAAUGCUCACUGGCCCUAAUUAAUUUCUAAAGAAAUUUGUUGAUCUCCAUGGAAACUGGGAUUAUGGAGAGUGAAAAAAAUUAUAAAGAACCUCUAUACCACAUACAGACAUAUUCUCAAAGACAAUUUAUUGAAGACCCUGUCUUGAACUCUUGGCGGUAUGUAGAUUACAGCUCAGAGAAUAUUAACUGAGUAAGGCCUAUGACAUAUCACCACUGUAUGGGUAUAUGCUAUUAUGUUUUGAGGAGGGGAUUAUCCUAACCACAAUCCAAAUUUACCAAACUAUAUACAAUUUUCAAACAAAUCAGAAACAGAGGCCUGGGAGUCAGAAUGACUCGGGUUCUAAU